rnacentral:rRNA from 1 species
UUAUUUUGAUAUUAUUUUUUAUUGUUGAAAAAAUUAAUAAUAAUUUAUUGUUAAUAAAAAUUAAAAUUUAUAAUAUUUUUAUUUUUAUUUUUUAGUUUUAAAUAAAAAAAAUAAAAUUUAUAUAUAUAAAAAUUUUGUUAUAAAUUAUAAUAGUUUAUUUAUUUGUUUUUUAUAAUAAAUAAUAGUAUUUUUUUUAUUAUUUUAUAAAAAAAAAUAAUUUAAUUAUAAUUAUUAAAAGUAAUUUUGUUAUUUAGAAUAAUAUAUUAAUAUAAAUAACAAAAAUAUUAAAUAUUUUUUAAAUUUUUUGGGGAUUUAAGUUAUAAUUUUUU